UGCGGAAUUUUAGAUAAUGGAGGGAACUCUGAUCUAGCGACGCCGCGUGCAGGAAGAAGGUCUUCGGAUUGUAAACUGCUGUGGUAAGGGAAAAAUGCUAUGUAGAGUGGAAAGCUACAUAGAGGGAUGGUACCUAACUAGAGAGCCCCGGCUAACUACGUGCAGCAGCCGCGGUAAUACGUAGGGGGCGAGCGUUACCCGGAAUCACUGGGCGUAAAGGGAGCGUAGGUGGCCUAACAUGUCAACUGUGAAAACCCGGAGCUCAACUCCGGACUUGCAGUUGAAACUGGUAGGCUUGAGGACGGUAGAGGAAGACGGAACUGCCAGUGUAGGGGUAAAAUCCUUAGAUAUUGGCAGGAACGCCGGUGACGAAGGUGGUUUUCUGGGCCGGUUCUGACACUGAUGCUCGAAAGCCAGGGGAGCGAACGG
rnacentral:rRNA from 1 species